CACCGCGGUUAUACGAAAGACCUAAGUUGAUGGAUUGCGGCGUAAAGGGUGGUUAGGGUAAUUUACUACUAAAGUUAAACCCUCUCUUGGCUGUUUCAAGCUUACGAGAAGGAGAGUCCCAUCUACGAAAGUGACUUUACCUACCUGAUUCCACGAAAGCUAGGGUA
rnacentral:rRNA from 1 species